rnacentral:rRNA from 1 species
UGCACCUGGUGGCGAGUGGCGAACGGGUGAKUAAUACAUCGGAACAUGUCCUGUAGUGGGGGAUAGCCCGGCGAAAGCCGGAUUAAUACCGCAUACGAUCUACGGAUGAAAGCGGGGGACCUUCGGGCCUCGCGCUAUAGGGUUGGCCGAUGGCUGAUUAGCUAGUUGGUGGGGUAAAGGCCUACCAAGGCGACGAUCAGUAGCUGGUCUGAGAGGACGACCAGCCACACUGGGACUGAGACACGGCCCAGACUCCUACGGGAGGCAGCAGUGGGGAAUUUUGGACAAUGGGCGAAAGCCUGAUCCAGCAAUGCCGCGUGUGUGAAGAAGGCCUUCGGGUUGUAAAGCA